rnacentral:tRNA from 1 species
AUUAAUUUGGCAGAAAAAGUGCUUUAAAUUUAGAAUUUAAUAAUGUAAGAUUACAGUUAAUA